CAGCUAUAUACUCAGGACAGAGCUC
rnacentral:piRNA from 1 species